GAUGAACGCUGGCGGCGUGCCUAACACAUGCAAGUCGAGCGAUUCUCUUCGGAGAAGAGCGGCGGACGGGUGAGUAACGCGUGGGUAACCUGCCCUGUACACACGGAUAACAUACCGAAAGGUAUGCUAAUACGGGAUAACAUAAGAAAUUCGCAUGUUUUUCUUAUCAAAGCUCCGGCGGUACAGGAUGGACCCGCGUCUGAUUAGCUAGUUGGUGAGGUAAUGGCUCACCAAGGCGACGAUCAGUAGCCGACCUGAGAGGGUGAUCGGCCACAUUGGAACUGAGACACGGUCCAAACUCCUACGGGAGGCAGCAGUGGGGAAUAUUGCACAAUGGGCGAAAGCCUGAUGCAGCAACGCCGCGUGAGCGAUGAAGGCCUUCGGGUCGUAAAGCUCUGUCCUCAAGGAAGAUAAUGACGGUACUUGAGGAGGAAGCCCCGGCUAACUACGUGCCAGCCGCCGCCGUAAUAC
rnacentral:rRNA from 1 species